rnacentral:rRNA from 1 species
CGUGUAGGCGGAUCGAGAAGUCGGGUGUGAAAGCCCUGGGCUCAACCCAGGAAGUGCGCCCGAAACCAUCGAUCUUGAGUUUCGGAAGGGAGCGGGGAAUUCCCAGUGUAGAGGUGAAAUUCGUAGAUAUUGGGAGGAACACCGGCGCCGAAGGGGCCGCUCUGGACGAAUACUGACGCUGAUGCGCGAAAGCGUGGGGAGCAAACAGGAUUAGAUACCCUGGUAGUCC